UGAGGGAGGGAACACACCCUGGGGACACAGUCACCCAGUCUAGCUGAGUGUCUGCAGGAAACAGCCCGCAGGUGAGAUACAGCACCUCCUCCCUGAACACCUCCCUUCUAGCCGAUGUACUGCUCCUUGUGCUGUGCAUAGAAUCUAUUCUAUUGCCUUUCUUCCCUUUGAAAGCAACAGCUGAUUUCCCCUGAUCCUGGCUUUCUGCCAAAGGCUGAGUGGUGUCCCUCCAUAUGUUGAAGUCCUAGCAUCCAGUACCUCAGCAUGUGACUGUGUUUGGAGACAGAAUCUUUAGAGAGCAGCGUCGGAAGAAAUUGACCUGUCAACACUUUGAUCUUGGCUUCUAGCUUCCAGAAUUGUGAGAAAAUAAAUUUCUGUUAUUUAAGCCA